rnacentral:rRNA from 1 species
GAGUUUGAUCGUGGCUCAGAUUGAACGCUGGCGGAAUGCUUUACACAUGCAAGUCGAGCGGCAGCGCGGGGCAACCUGGCGGCGAGCGGCGAACGGGUGAGUAAUGCAUCGGAACAUGUCCAUGUCGUGGGGGAUAGCCCGGCGAAAGCCGGAUUAAUACCGCAUACGCCCGAGAGGGGAAAGCCGGGGACCGCAAGGCCUGGCGCGAUUGGGUUGGCCGAUGUCCGAUUAGCUAGUUGGCGGGGUAAGAGCCCACCAAGGCGAUGAUCGGUAGCUGGUCUGAGAGGAUGAUCAGCCACACUGGGACUGAGACACGGCCCAGACUCCUACGGGAGGCAGCAGUGGGGAAUUUUGGACAAUGGGGGCAACCCUGAUCCAGCCAUUCCGCGUGAGUGAAGAAGGCCUUCGGUUGU